GACGAACGCUGGCGGCGUGCUUAACACAUGCAAGUCGAACGGUGAAGCGCCUUCCUUUUUGGUGGGUGUGGAUGAGUGGCGAACGGGUGAGUAACACGUGAGUAACCUGCCCCCUUCUUCUGGAUAACCGCAUGAAAGUGUGGCUAAUACGGGAUAUUCUGGGUCUGUCGCAUGAUGGGUCUGGGAAAGAUAUUGUUUCGGUGGGGGAUGGGCUCGCGGCCUAUCAGCUUGUUGGUGGGGUGAUGGCCUACCAAGGCGGUGACGGGUAGCCGGCCUGAGAGGGUGGACGGUCCCACUGGGACUGGGACACGGCCCAGACUCCUGCGGGAGGCAGCAGGGGGGAAUAUUGCACAAUGGGCGCAAGCCUGAUGCAGCGACGCCGCGUGAGGGAUGGAGGCCUUCGGGUUGUGAACCUCUUUCGCCAGUGAAGCAGGCCUGCCUCGUUUGUGGGUGGGUUGACGGUAGCUGGAUAAGAAGCGCCGGCUAACUACGUG
rnacentral:rRNA from 1 species